CUGUGAGACUUUUGGGUUAUGGAUUUGCGUUUUGAGGAUAUGGUGCAGAAGUUAUGAAGAGUUCAUUUAGUUGUUGAGAUGAUCUGUAUUGCUUUAGUAUAUUUUGUUCCCUCGCCUUUAUCUUGAUACAUUCUGUAAGAGGGAUAGGAAUUGUAUUGGUUAAUGCUUGUAAUAUGAUGUAUAUAUCUAUGUAUAUAUAUGGAUGUAUCCUUUAUGAGUUUUUGUAAGUUGAAUGGUAUCUAUGAAUGUAUGUUAUCAAACGAAAGUAUUUUGGGAGCGAUAUUGCGGU